GGCGAACGCGGGCGGCGUGCCUAAUACAUGCAAGUAGGACGCACAGUUUAUACCGUAGCUUGCUACACCAUAGACUGUGAGUUGCGAACGGGUGAGUAACGCGUAGGUAACCUACCUAUUAGAGGGGGAUAACUAUUGGAAACGAUAGCUAAUACCGCAUAACAGUAUGUAACACAUGUUAGAUGCUUGAAAGAUGCAAUUGCAUCGCUAGUAGAUGGACCUGCGUUGUAUUAGCUAGUAGGUAGGGUAAAGGCCUACCUAGGCAACGAUACAUAGCCGACCUGAGAGGGUGAUCGGCCACACUGGGACUGAGACACGGCCCAGACUCCUACGGGAGGCAGCAGUAGGGAAUCUUCGGCAAUGGGGGGAACCCUGACCGAGCAACGCCGCGUGAGUGAAGAAGGUUUUCGGAUCGUAAAGCUCUGUUGUUAAGGAAGAACGAGUGUGAGAAUGGAAAGUUCAUGCUGUGACGGUACUUAACCAGAAAGGGACGGCUAACUACGUGCCAGCAGCCGCGGUAAUACGUAGGUCCCGAGCGUUGUCCGGAUUUAUUGGGCGUAAAGCGAGCGCAGGCGGUUAGAAAAGUCUGAAGUGAAAGGCAGUGGCUCAACCAUUGUAGGCUUUGGAAACUGUUUAACUUGAGUGCAGAAGGGGAGAGUGGAAUUCCAUGUGUAGCGGUGAAAUGCGUAGAUAUAUGGAGGAACACCGGUGGCGAAAGCGGCUCUCUGGUCUGUAACUGACGCUGAGGCUCGAAAGCGUGGGGAGCGAACAGG
rnacentral:rRNA from 1 species